rnacentral:tRNA from 1 species
GCCCCGGUAGCUCAGCUGGAUAGAGCAGCGGACUUCUAAUCCGCAGGUCCCUGGUUCGAAUCCAGGUCGGGGUA